GUUACCUCCGGGCUGGUCAAGAGGCUGAGGGGCGGUGAGAGAGUGUCCGGCGUUGCCGCGGUAACGGCCGCCCGGGCAUGGCGGCGGGGCGUGCCCCGCGCAGACCGGGGGACCUCUAGGCUGGUAUCAGGUGCUGAAAGAGGCCAGCAAUGGCGUGGUGCAGGGUGCUCCGUGGAAAGAGUUGGUGCUUGGCAAUAUAGUCUUGGAAAUAGCCGGCAAAGCUAUCUAGGAGUGUGUUGAAAAUGCUGGGAGAGAAAAAGCAAUUAAUUGUGAAAAGAGACCUUUACACAGACCCCACGUUUCCAGCCAGUGAUACCUCUAUAUUUUUUGAUUAUUCUACCCCGCUUGCACAGUUCAGAGGCGAGAUAUCUUGGUUGAGACCUAAGGACAUUUGUUCUACUCCUCGGUUAUUUUCAAGCAAUCUACAGGAUGUGCAAGUGAAACAAGGGAUUUUGGGAGACUGUUGGUUCCUGUGUGCCUGUGUAGCUUUGCAGAAGAGUAAAUACCUACUGAACAAGGUAAUCCCUCCAGGUCAGCCCAGCUGGACAGAUGAGUCGUAUCAAGGCUGCUUCACUUGUCGAGUCUGGCAGUUUGGACACUGGGUGGAAGUGACUAUUGAUGACCGUUUGCCUUGCCUUGGUGGUAAACUCUGCUUUUCCCAGUGUCAGACCGAGGAUUUGUUUUGGCUUCCACUAUUGGAAAAAGCUUAUGCAAAAGUGCAUGGAUCUUAUGAACAGCUGUGGGCAGGACAGGUGGCAGAUGCGUUGGUUGAUCUGACUGGAGGAAUUGCUGAAAGAUGGACCCUAAAAAGCCCUGGAAGAAACAUGGAGAAAAAGAAGUCUGGCAUGGUUUUAGAGAAAGCAGUGUUUAGAAGAUUGAUGAAUCUGAAGGAACAGUGUGUAAUAAGCUGCUCAGUCCUCGAUUCCAGAAAAGGUGCAAGCGAACUAGGAGAAUUUCAUGCCUUUAUUGUGAUAGACACGUUGAAUCUGUCUGAAGUGUCAGGCAAGGAAAUCUUCCUACUUCGAAUACGAAACCCUUGGGGGAGGCGGUGCUGGAGAGGUCCCUGGUGUGAGGGUGGCCAAGGAUGGAGCCAGCUCGAUCCAGCCGUUGCCUCAAAACUGCUCUCACAGAUCCAAGAGGGAGAAUUCUGGGUUGAUGAAGAGGAAUUUUUCAGGGAAUUUGAUGAGAUUACCAUGGGCUUUCCAGUCAAUGAGGAAGGACAACUUCAGAGCCUCUAUACAGGAAAAGUGCUGUAUCACUCACAGAAUCUUUUUGGAUCCUGGGUGAGAGGCCAGUCUGCCGGUGGCUGCCGUAACAACAGCACCUUCCCUACCAACCCUAAGUUCUGGCUGAGAGUAUGUGAAAAGAGUGAGGUGUGCAUUGCUCUGCUGCAGAAACAUAGGAAAUACUGUGCUGACUGGGCUGGAAGAGUUAAAAAUCUGAUUCACUUAGCAGAGGAAAAUCUGUCUUUGACUGAAGGCAUACAGGGGAAGAAUUACCAGGCUGUGGGAUUGCAUGUCUGGAAGGUGGAGAAGAAACGAUUUAACCUUCCAAAGACCCUCUCUACUCCCCCAGUUGUAGGUACCGUCUGCCAUUCCUAUGACAGAGAAGUGCACGUAUGCUGUGACCUUUCUCCUGGAUUUUAUCUUGUUGUUCCCAGCACUUUUCUGAAAGAUGCAGUAGGGAAUUUCUUGCUUCGUGUAUUUUCAACAGGAAGGAUCUCUCUCAGUGAGCUAAAGCCACCACCCACAGAUGGUACUCUCUGUGAAGAGCUCCCAGCAGGCGAAUGGGAGACAGUGCAGCUGCAUGGAUGCUGGAAAAAUGGGCAAAGUGCCGGAGGUAGCAGGAACUUCCCCUCCUUCCAUACCAAUCCCUGCUUUCCGCUCUCAAUUCCUGCAGGACCAGGAAAAAGCAGUGUGAAAGUUACCCUCCGUCAGCACUGCCAAGAUAGCAAGUGUCGUCCAAUAGGUUUCCAUAUUUUCCAGGUACCUCACAGCAGCUGGAAACCACAUACUUCCUCUUUUCUACACUUGGAGCCACUGGUUAGCUGUGUACCUCAUUGCUAUUCACAGGAAGUAAGCCAGCUUUGCAGACUUCCUGCAGGAAGCUAUGUAAUUAUACCUUCUACCUACUUGCCUGAUACAGAAGGCAAUUUUACAGUGGUGAUAGCAACCAAAAUAGACAGGAAGCGCAUUCACAGCCGUGAGACACUUGGACAAGUAUUGCAAGAGGUAAGCGAUACAUUUUUAACUUCAAUUGUUCUAAAGGUGUUGCUGAGGCAUCCUUGAGGUUUAUGUAUUAAGUAAUAUUGAGAGUCAAGUACUAGUGGACUGGACUUUGAAUGUUCUUAUUUACUUGCUGCAAACGGAUAAUCAGUAAAGCAGUUAAUAUUCGGGUUUUGUUUUUCAGCCAGAAAAGUAGCAUUUGUUAGCAGCUAAUAAAGUUUGUCUUUUCACACCAUUCAGCUAUUGGAAGCUUCUAUAUAACUAUUUUAUAAAGUCAUUAUUUAUCCCUGAAGUCAUUCCCCAGUACCUACCUCUGCUGUAACCUCUGUGAGAAAUUGGACUAUUAGUGCUGAGUAGUGGUAGAGUAGUCAUACUUGACUUUUGCUUUCAAGAGUGUAAACACUCUUGAUGCAUUUGGAUAUAUUUUGAUGUAUUCAUUUUUCAUGUCACCACAGACCUGCUAGCCUUAAUCAUAUAUUGUAUCCUUCCUCCAUCUGAUUUGCUUUGAUGUUAAUUUGGGAUUCUAUGUAUUGUGAUCUAGAAAUUCUAAUGAUGUUAUAAUGUUAUAAAGACUUGAGAAAAUACAGCAAAAAGAGAAGAAAAGCAAACGGGAAAUCCAGACAUUGGCUUUCACCACAAUGGAGUUUAGUAUUUUAUUUGCUUCUUUACAGCCAGCCCAUACAAUAUCCUCUCAUUAGAAUCCUUCUUUGCAUGCAAGCUGUUUGGAUCAAGUUAAUGCCACCUAUUUAAUAUUUUGGUAUUGCAUUUUGCUUGAUUAGAUAUACAUGUAAUAUUGAAGGGUUGGAUGUGAAUGCUGAGUACCUAAUACUUAAGGUGUUUCAACUGGGUGCAGAGGAGAAUUUUAUUAUUUCAACAAUUGUUUAAAGAUAUUUGAUUUGUUUGGUGGAUCAGAGCAAGCCCUUGGUAAUACUCUGCUUAUUACGUGAGAACAAGACCAUCUAGAUACUUGGCCCUUUCCUUUUGAAAAGGGGAACUCUUAGGAAAAACCUCUUCACCCAAGAUUAGAACUGGUUUACUAAUUUUCUUAGUGUAGGUCAUGUUAACCAAUGAUUACAUUUUGUAAAUUAAACCCUGACAAACGGUAUGGAUUUUGGGUGCUUCACAAAAAUGAGCAAAGACCUGUAUGUACUUUCCUCGCAGUGCUUGUCAUUUUAAUAUUUAGAAGCUGAAGUAUGUAAUGAAGUUGUUUAUUGCUGCUGUUUUGGAAACAAAACGUUGCAAGACCAUUUUUACAGAAGGAAUAUAUUCAAAGAUACAUUUCUUAUAUUAGUCCAUGAAAAUGGUUGGACUUGGGCAAGGAGUUCACCCUGACAUCAAGGGAACAAGCCAUUUAGAGUCUUCACAACUUGAAAACUUGAGGAAUUUGGAAAUGGUAGUCACAGGUUGCUUAUCAGUGGCAGAAAUUAAUGCCUGAAUCUAAUCUUCAGCAGCGUUGGCUUUUCUAAAGAAGAUAGGAAUUAUGAGUUUUAAUUUUUUUAGAUAUUUCACAGGAAAAACUUGCAUUGUGUCUUUAACUUUUAAAUAUUUUCUCUGAUCUACUUUAAUUCUUUAUUAAUGUCUUCUCUUUCUUGACAAAAAAGGCUAACUCAUGAAAUAGCUUGCUUCCCCCUCCCCCUCCUGCAUUGUUCAUUUUCUUACAGAUUUCAUUUACAACUGUGAUGAAAAGGUAAUCUGGAAUUCGCACACUGUUAUUUUGAGAAACACCAGAAGGCACAGGAAUUCCUCACCUCUUGCUGUUUUCAGUUUUCAAUGGAAUAGCAGGAAGAGACUCUUAGCCCAGCUGUUUUCACUGGUACCAACUGUCAGGUAGGACAUACCUCAAGAACCAUCAAAAUACACUGGAGUAGAGAAAGUCCAAGCUUGUACCCUACACUGCCAGUCACGCUGCUGAGCACUUUAUCGAACCAUGCAAAUGGUGGGUUGAAAAGGAAGAUUUCACCGGCAAGUUUUCCUUUAAUGAACACCACAAAGGAAAAAGAUAAGACUUGAAAACUUUUAUUUAUGGACUGUCACAUCAGACUGCUUUUGUAAAUCUGUAAAAAUGUGUUUUAUGCAAGAUCUUCCCCUCCCUGCUGCCCCCUGUAAGAAAUACGAUGUUUAAGAGAUUUUUCUUAAUUUAUGGUUGAAAGUAUUUCUUAUUCAAGGAGGAUUUUUUAAAUGUUAUAUUUUCCUCAAUAAAAAUGAAGUAACAUUGAAAGUUUUAAAAUGUCUUUUAUUAAAAAGCAGAAACUGACGAUGAUGUCAAGUCUGCAUUUGUUCUGCAGUAGAAACUUUACAGUAUGUUGGAGCCCUGGGGUUUUCACCAAAUGUAAGGGAAUAAUUGGAAAUAUUUGAGAGGAGAAUCAAGUCUCCAUUAAUUUUAUGUCUGAGAAAUAUGUAAAAUUCUACUUCUGCUUUUAACUGUGUCCUACCAUCAUUUAUGCUUGUUCCUCUUGAACAUUGAAGAUUGAAAGCAUCUAGGAUGCUUGCAGCUGAAUUUUAAGUGGUCAGAACUUUCCACAUCUAUUGUGGAAUGAUGAGGCAACAAAAGAAAACACUAAUAAAUCUCUAUUAUGCCUGCUUUAACAAA